rnacentral:ribozyme from 13 species
UUUUUUUUUUUUUUUUUCAUCUUAGUUUUAACAUAUUAAAUACGAAUAAUGGACAGAACAAAAUUGGCACUGGUCGUACAGUUUCGACAAAUUUCUGACGUUUACGCACACAUCCUUCAACAAUGAAAUAUUA